UACAGUGAAUCUGUCAAUGAUGAUUACUGUAGAGAUCACCAUGAUGACAACGACGGUGAUGACGAAGAUAUCCUUGCCAGAGCAUUACCUCCCCGUUACCUUUUGCGACACAAGCGCACGUGUACAACUAGAGCGAGCGAAGAAGUGCGGCCCCGCACUACGGCCGUAACUCGACUUCGGACAACAAGGUCUUCUACCUCAUUACGAAAACAGUCCAUCUCGCGAGCAGUAAAUUAUGAUAUUGUUGGUUCGAGUGACGAUGAAUUGAGUUUCCUUUGAUGUUUUGGUCUAUAUGCGCAUGUUCCGAUUUUCGAUUGAUUCAGCAGCAUUUUGAUCGCCUACUCGUCGGUUUCCGUCGUUGGUAGACAGGAUACGCAGGUCAUGAACACACUGAUACAGCCCUUUUGGGCCUUGAUACCCCUAUUGGAUUACUGUUCUUGGACUUUGUUUGAUAUUUGGGCCUCGGGUUUCUGGAGUUAGUUAAUUGGGUUGGCUUGAUUGCCUUGCUGUUUUAUAUAUAAAUGUAUAUAUACCAAUGAUUGCAAGAGCCAAUAACCGUUCCCAGGUUACUUGUACAGUGCGUUAAUUUUGGUAUUUAUAUGUCUUGUUCGAAGAAUUUUAGACCCCGCAUCUUAUUCCCCAUUUCCGAUUUCACGCGCCCUCUCGUGUUAAUAACUAUAAGUGCAUAAACCUACUAUAUCGCCUAGGUCACCCUGCGCUUUUUAGAGAGCGCGAUCUGUACCUGGCAAUUAACUCUUUGAUUGGCACGCCAC
rnacentral:sRNA from 1 species